UCAUUCUUACCCCUUCUGAAGCAAAGCAUUGAAAGCCCCAAACCAAAACAGCAAAACCCUAGCCCUAGGUUCUUUGCCGCGGCCGUCUCCAGGUUCUCAGCGCUUCCGCUUCUUCCUCUUCCCCCUUUCCAGAACCCAGGUAGCUCGGCACGUCGUCUCCAUCCUCGCUGGCUUCUCUGUCCGUGGCUUGGACCAGCUCGCCUUCGGGUCACACCGGUUGGCAUCGUCUCUGCUCUCGCCGUCGUCUUGUCAGUUGCCGUCGUGUCUCCGUUGAAGGUAUAUAUAUCUUGGGCUAUUCGACAGCGAAGUAGAAGCUGCAAGGUCCUAGUGAAACUUGAUAACAGUCUCAUAAUUAUUCUUUUGCUGGUGUAAUUGCUAAUAAGUGCAAAGUUGUUUGCCAAAUCUAUUCACAGUUUGUUCUAAGUUAAUUGUAAACUUUAGUUUGUGCUCAAAUGACAAUUUUUUUUAUGACUUGUAUUUAUAGUGGACCGUGGAAGUUGAUCCAAAAUUUCAUGAGAUCAUCUAUUAUGGGGAAUAUAUAUUUUUCUUUGUUUUCCUGA